rnacentral:rRNA from 1 species
AAUACACGACCGGCGCACGGGUGAGUAACACGUUUGCAACCUACCUCUAACUGGAGGAUAGCCCGAAGAAAUUCGGAUUAAUAUUCCAUAAAGUCAAUUUAAGGCAUCUUUUAUUGAUUAAAGCUCCGGCGGUUAGGGACGGGCAUGCGUGUCAUUAGCUAGUUGGUGAGGUAACGGCUCACCAAGGCCACGAUGACUAGGGGGUCUGAGAGGAUGACCCCCCACACUGGUACUGAGACACGGACCAGACUCCUACGGGAGGCAGCAGUGAGGAAUAUUGGGCAAUGGACGCAAGUCUGACCCAGCCAUGCCGCGUGCAGGAUGACUGCCCUAUGGGUUGUAAACUGCUUUUGUUUGGGAAGAAACCCCCGAUCGUGAUCGGGGCUGACGGUACCAUACGAAUAAGCAUCGGCUAACUCCGUGCCAGCAGCCGCGGUAAUACGGAGGAUGCAAGCGUUAUCCGGAUUCAUUGGGUUUAAGGGGUGCGCAGGCGGGAUAUUAAGUCAGUGGUGAAAUCCUGCAGCUUAACUGUAGAACUGCCAUUGAUACUGAUAUUCUUGAAUAUAGUUGAGGUAGGCGGAAUGUGUAAUGUAGCGGUGAAAUGCUUAGAUAUUACACAGAACACCAAUUGCGAAGGCAGCUCACUAAACUAAUAUUGACGCUGAGGCACGAAAGCGUGGGUAGCAAACAGGAUUAGAUACCCUGGUAGUCCACGCUGUAAACUAUGAUCACUCGCUGUUGGCAAUACAUCGUCAGCGGCUGAGCGAAAGCAUUAAGUGAUCCACCUGGGGAGUACGGUCGCAAGAUUGAAACUCAAAGGAAUUGACGGGGGCCCGCACAAGCGGAGGAACAUGUGGUUUAAUUCGAUGAUACGCGAGGAACCUUACCUGGGCUUAAAUGCAGAGCGACGUCCGCCGAAAGGUGGAUUCCUUCGGGCGAUCUGCAAGGUGCUGCAUGGUUGUCGUCAGCUCGUGCCGUGAGGUGUCGGGUUAAGUCCCAUAACGAGCGCAACCCUUAUCGUUAGUUGCCAGCGGGUAAUGCCGGGGACUCUAACGAAACUGCCGGUGUAAACCGUGAGGAAGGUGGGGAUGACGUCAAAUCAGCACGGCCCUUAUGUCCAGGGCUACACACGUGUUACAAUGGUCGGUACAGAGGGCAGCUACCACGCGAGUGGAUGCUAAUCUCGAAAACCGGUCUCAGUUCGGAUUGAAGUCUGCAACUCGACUUCAUGAAGCUGGAUUCGCUAGUAAUCGCGCAUCAGCCAUGGCGCGGUGAUACGUUCCCGGGCAUUGUACACACCGCCCGUCAAGCCAUGGAAGCUUGGG